rnacentral:lncRNA from 1 species
CAGAGCUGGGGCUGAGGGAUGGACUGAUGCUUUUAGGCUCAAACGUGGCUUUUAGACAGAUUUGUUCAUAGACCCUCUCAAGUGCCCUCUCCGAGCUGAUGUUCUCUCCCAGGGGCUGGCUUCAGGAGGGAGCAUAGAAGGCAGGUGAGCAACCAGUUGGCUAGGGGAGCGGGGGGCCCACCAGAGCUGUGGAGAGGGGACCCUAAGACUCCUCGGCCUGGCUCCUACCCACCGCCCUUGCCGAACCAGGAGCUGCUCACUACCUUCUCAGGGAUGGCCGUUGGCCACGUCUUCCUUCUGCCUGAGCUUCCCCCCUACCACAGGCCCUUUCCUCAGGCAAGGUCUGGCCUCAGGUGGGCCGCAGGCGGGAAGAGCAGCCCUUGGCCAGAAGUCAAGCCCAGCCACGUGGAGCCUAGAGUGAGGGCCUGAGGUCUGGCUGCUUGCCCCCAUGCUGGGGCCAACAACUUCUCCAUCCUUUCUGCCUCUCAACGUCACUUGAAUCCUAGGGCCUGGGUUUUCAUGUUUUUGAAACAGAACCAUAAAGCAUAUGUGUUGGCUUG